CUCCAGGCCGUCUGCUACCGGGCCCCCAGGCCAUCUGCUUCUGAUGUGUUCUCGUCGACGUCCAGCAAUAGAAUGAAUUUUCGGGACCGACUGAGCCUCGUUUUGUUGCCUCGUCGACGAUCCGAAAAUUAUGAGGUGGAGUGGGGGUAAUUUUAGAUACAUCAAUCUCACGUCUCUCGAUUGACUGAUUGGGAAACGUUUGUUCAACCAACCAGCGUGCACCAAAAAGAGGGGAAAUUUGCCGAGAGGGGAAUUCGUCACGUAACGUUUUCGCUUCGCGAAAAUGUUGGAUUGACACCCCGUAUAGAAACCUUAGGACAAAGUUCUUUGUCAAAAACCUCCAAAUUUUUUUUUACCGUGUAUCAUUUUUUUUUCAGUGUAGUCCAUAUCCAUCCCUACAACUUUGCCGAAGACACCAAAUCGAUCAAAAAAUUCCUUCAAAAGAUACAGAUUUUUGAAUUUUCACAUAUCAUUUUUGUAUGGACAGCUGCCAAAUUUGUAUGGAAAAUUAUAUGGACAAACUAAUGAUGCAAAAUGGCUUCUUUGGGCAUACCGAAGGCACCAAAAAAGUUUCACCCGGAUUAAAAAAUACAAAAAAAAUCGAAUGACCGAAAUCUCCCUUCUGUUGUUUUUGUUUAUCUUGAUUUUUUCUGUUCUUUUUCGCGGUAAGAUUGUCAAAUCGUCGGGAGAGUUUGAUGUUGUAUGUGGCCGCAGCCAACGGAAUCUAUUACAGGCGCUGGUGGACGACUUCUUAACAGUGAGAAACGUUACCGGCAACAACCGGCUCCUGCGGCGGUUGUUCUUGUAGAACUGAUAACGGUUGUUGUUGCGGGGAGCUACGCAGUGUCCACCGUUGCUGAAGGCGAUUCCAUAUUUGCAUACCAAAUGUUAGGAAUGUCCACGAUCCUAACCCGGGUACGGGAGCUCCAUUAACCUAGACAACAGAGAAACUGGCGUAAGCGACAAAAUGCUGUGGGACGCUUCCGAUGCAAGCUGGAGAAACCUGAACUAUGAUGAUCAUCACACCGAAAGAUUGUUGCGGCCUGCGGUGAUGAGCCAGUUAGGCUCGAGGGUCAAAUCGGCCAGUCCAUCCAAGACCAGAAACGGCUAUUUCGACCAAGCUAAAGGAACCUACGGCUGGAUAACUCGCUGCAAUCGGAUAGGUCCACUGGUCUACGAGCUGAGGAGGAGGACACAAAGCCGGACCAGGAGGCUAACCGCCCUUGAACGGAAGAAGUCAGUCAGCAACAAUCGGAUUUUGACGAAAGGACCAGGUGAACUCGGAGAACAUCGGUGCCUUACAAAAGCGUAAGCGGAAGCCGAUAUUUCUGCUGCGAAAUGGACCAAGGAUUGACGCAUCAUGGAAAACUGUGCCACUCCCGUCACAGUCAGUCAGUCCGAGUGCCUGUCACGUUGAGAUCCUAUUUUGUAUGAAAAUAUAAUUUGAAAAAACUAGGCAAAUAAAAUCAAUGCUUUGUGCUCAAAAAUUAAACUUUUUUUCCAAAAAAAAUCGAAUAAAACAUUUAAUAAAGUAGUAUUCCUGAAGAACCGCAUUUCGGUCUUGGAGAUGCGACGAGACCGACGAACCUGUACCGAAGUGCCGAGUCCGACCCAACCAAAGGUCUUCCAGCAAACCGUCGUACCAGAAAGCCAACGCCGACCACGAUGUCGAACCCGGAGUUCCGCUGUCCUAUCUAACCUACAAGGCACUCACACGCGAGCGAGCGAGAGGUGAGGGGAAUGAAUCUGUAUCUCAACUUCCUCCGGCCACAGCUGGAAGAAGUGCAUGUCUAAACACUCAUGCCAAAAGU